AUAUUUUCUGAGACAGUGCUUUUCAAAAGUAU
rfam:Otolemur garnettii contig082528, whole genome shotgun sequence.